AGUGAACGCUGGCGGUAGGCCUAACACAUGCAAGUCGAACGGCAGCACAGUAAGAGCUUGCUCUUACGGGUGGCGAGUGGCGGACGGGUGAGGAAUACAUCGGAAUCUACUUUUUCGUGGGGGAUAACGUAGGGAAACUUACGCUAAUACCGCAUACGACCUACGGGUGAAAGCAGGGGAUCUUCGGACCUUGCGCUCUUGGAGGGCUCGGUGUCGGAUGAGCUAGUGGGAGGGGUAAAGGCCCACCAAGGCGAUGAUCCGUAGCCGGUCUGAGAGGGUGAACGGCCACAAGGGGAGUGAGACACGGCCCUUACUCCUACGGGAGGCAGAAGUGGGGAAUAUUGGACAAGGGACCAAGAGUCUGAGCAAGCAAUUCUGUGUGCACGAUGAAGUUUUUCGGAAUGUAAAGUGAUUUCAGUUGGGAAGAAAAAAAUGACGGUACCAACAGAAGAAGUGACGGCUAAAUACGUG
rnacentral:rRNA from 1 species